rnacentral:tRNA from 1 species
GCUCGUAUAGCUCAGCGGUAGAGCGUCUCACUCGUAUCGUCCCGACGAUUGGGUGAAAUGAGAAGGUCCUAGGUUCAAGUCCUAGUUCGAGCA